ACUAUCCGAUCUUGCUUCUUCCCCUUGCAGCCUCCAUCAGUCCUCUCUUCUCUAAUUCUUGUUCUUCAAUGAUUCCUCUGUUACCUUUAAAACCAACCUCCACAUCACCUCCUUUGAUGACUAAUUCCAUCCUUGACUUCCUUUAUUUCCAUACCAACCUCUCUCUCUUUGCCAGACACCAUAUCCUUGCUUCCAAUAUUCCCUCAAACCUCCUUGCCAAGAUUUCCAUCUUCUAGUUUCAUUCCCUCAACCUAGAUGAUGGCACAUAUUGCUGCUUUUAUUAUCUUGGCUCCUUAUGAAUUUAUUAAAUUUUAUAUGAGAUAAUGGAAGAAAAGGAGUUUUUUUAUGAAUGAGGUGUGCACCAGCAUCUAGAUUGAGGUUUUUGUGCUAUUCCAAGUUUCCAACAAAUCUUUUCACAUAUAUAUCAGAUUGUUCUGCUUUAAUUGUUUGUAUUGUAUGAUAUCCAAGAUUUUUGACGUAUCAAAAAAAAAAAACCAAUUUUCUUUAUAGACAAGAGGAGAGAUAGUUCGUUUGAUACUAAGGAAGUCCAAGAAUUGAAGUUUUAGCCAUUAGGGAGAAUAGUUAAUUUUUUCAUAUAUUUUUAUGCGAUCAACCAAAGAUCAAAUACAAUAGAAAACCAUGAUCUAUUUUUUCUUUGGUACUCUGCUGCAAUAUAACUCCAUACCAAAGUUGUUCAAUUCCAUGGCAAGACCAACCUAUGUAUCCAAAUAAGCCCUAAUUAGACAUAUAUCCCAAUCUAUUGUAGUAUCUAAUAUACAUAUGCUAUAGCAUCAUCCAUUUUUGAGCAUAAAAUGCAUCACUCAUAAUGAGGACAUAAGUGGUUGAUGAUGAUAUGGACUCUGAAUUCCUAUCCCUUCAGGCAUGGUUUAUGAAACCGUCCCAAAUCAGGCGGUUCAAGGCAUUUCAAGCCGUACCAGCCGUAAAACAGGACAGUUCGGCCUUUCAAAUCCGAACACUAGAUGAGAGAGAGGAAAGAGAGAGAGAAGGGGAGAGAAAGAGGGGACGAUGCUGUCGGAGGACAAGUGGUGGCCCAUUGAGACCGUCGGAGGGCCGCGGAGGUCUCCACGGCUCUGUGUUGUCCGAUAGGGUAUUUAAUAUAGAGAGAUAGAGAGAAAGACGGAGCGAGGGUACUGCAGGGAGGCGCAGCCAAUAGAGAGGCUGUUGGAGGUCGUUGGGUGGCCAUCGGGUAGCGGAAAAGAUGCGAACAGAGCUGCAGCCAUGGAACGGAA
rnacentral:lncRNA from 1 species